AUUGAACGCUGGCGGCAGGCCUAACACAUGCAAGUCGAACGUGUGGCGGACGGGUGUGUAAUGUCUGGGAAACUGCCUGAUGGAGGGGGUUAACUACUGGAAACGGUAGCUAAUACCGCAUCCCAUCAGAUGUGCCCAGAUGGGCGUAUCUUGUUGGUGGGGUAACGGCUCACCAAGGUGACGAUCCCUAGCUGGUCUGAGAGGAUGACCGGCCGCACUGGAACUGAGACACGGUCCAAGAUCUGACGGGAGUCAGCAGAGGGAAAGAUUGCACAAUGAGUGCAAGCCUGAUGCGGAGAUGCCGCGUGUAUGAAGACGGCCUUCGAGUUGUAAAGUACUUUCAACGGGGAGGCGUUACCCGCAGAAGAAGGAACGGCUAACUCCGUGCCAGCAGCCGCGGUAAUAC
rnacentral:rRNA from 1 species